rnacentral:rRNA from 1 species
CGAACGCUGGCGGCAGGCCUAACACAUGCAAGUCGAGCGAGGGGCAACCCUAGCGGCGGACGGGUGAGUAACGCGUGGGAACGUACCCUUUGGUUCGGAAUAGCCCCUGGAAACGGGGAGUAAUACCGGAUACGGUCGAGAGACGAAAGAUUUAUCGCCGAAGGAUCGGCCCGCGUUGGAUUAGGUAGUUGGUGGGGUAAUGGCCUACCAAGCCGACGAUCCAUAGCUGGUUUGAGAGGAUGAUCAGCCACACUGGGACUGAGACACGGCCCAGACUCCUACGGGAGGCAGCAGUGGGGAAUCUUAGACAAUGGGCGCAAGCCUGAUCUAGCCAUGCCGCGUGAUCGAUGAAGGCCUUAGGGUUGUAAAGAUCUUUCAGUGGGGAAGAUAAUGACUGUACCCACAGAAGAAGCCCCGGCUAACUCCGUGCCAGCAGCCGCGGUAAUCUGAUGGCGCGAGG